AGAGUUUGAUCCUGGCUCAGGACGAACGCUGGCGGCGUGCUUAAUACAUGCAAGUCGAGCGAGAAACCACCGCUCCGUAAGGAGUGGUGGCGGAAAGCGGCGAACGGGUGAGUAACACGUGGGUAAUGUGCCCUGAACAUCGGGAUAACAGCGGGAAACCGCUGCUAAUACCGAAUAACCCUGCACUGUCGCAUGACGAAGCAGGCAAAUGUUCCGGCGGUUCAGGAUCAGCCCGCGGUGUAUCAGCUUGUUGGUGGGGUAACGGCCUACCAAGGCUUUGACGCAUAGCUGGCGUGAGAGCGCGACCAGCCACACUGGGACUGAGACACGGCCCAGACUCCUACGGGAGGCAGCAGUAGGGAAUCUUGCGCAAUGGGCGAAAGCCUGACGCAGCGACGCCGCGUGAGGGAUGACGGCCUUCGGGUUGUAAACCUCUUUCAGUAGGGACGAAGCCUUACGGUGACGUACCUACAGAAGA
rnacentral:rRNA from 1 species